ensembl:lncRNA
CCCAGGGUAGNNNNNNNNNNNCAAGACAACCUGUUUCUGCUGCGCGACCUACUUACAGCCAGUGAACUCUUUGGCCUGGACGUUGGCCUUCUCUCCCUGGACCAGGAGAAAGCCUUUGACCGGGUGGACCACGCCUACAUCUUUCGGACCCUGGAGGCCUUUGGCUUUGGGCCCCUUUUCAUCAGCGCCCUCCGGGUCUUGUAUCAAGACACUUCCAGCCUGCUCAAGGUGAACGGCAUGCUCUGUGCCCCGUUCCCCACGUGCAGAGGCAUCCAUCAGGGCUGCCCCCUGUCGGGCAUGCUCUAUGCCCUGGCCAUUGAGCCACUGUUGCAUGCGCUGCGGCGCCGCCUGAGCGGUGUGGCCUUGCCACCAGCCAGUGGCCCAUCCCCUGCCCCUCCGCUGCGGCUCUUAGCAUACGCAGACGACGUGACCAUCUUCCUUAACACCCAGGAAGACGUGGAGGCCCUGACAGCCUGCCAGCGAGCCUACGAACGUGCCUCUUAGGCCUGUUUCAACUGGGCCAAGAGUGAUACCCUGCUGCUUGGAGAAUGGAUUGCCACGACCCCCCCGGCCCUGCCCGGGGGCCUCAGCUGGCGCCACGAGGGCCUUAAGAUCCUGGGCAUGUUCCUGGGGCCACCGGCCUUCAUGGCGCGCAACUGGGACGGCCUCGAGGAAGGAGUGAAGGCCCGCCUUCAAGGGUGGCACUGGUGCCUACCCAGCCUCUCCUACCAUGGACGCGUCCUCAUCGUGAACAACCUAGUGGCGGCGAGCCUGUGGCAUUGGUGCGCCAUACUCAAUCCGCCGGAGGACCUGCUCGAGAGACUCCAGCGCCUCCUGGUUGACUUCUUCUGGGACGGGCGCCACUGGCUCCCACGACCUGUCCUUUACCUACCUGUGAUUGAGGGGGGCCAGAGUUUGGUUGACCUGGCGAGCAGGGUGGUCUCCUUCCACCUCCAGGCCCUCCAGCGACUCCUGUACGGUGAGGAGCGCCCACCUUGGCAACACCUGUCAUGCUGGUUUCUGCAGAGGGUGCGGGCCCUCGGCUUUGACCGGGAGCUCUUCCUGCUGGACCUCACACUUUUGAACUGGGCCGUGCUUCCAGCCUUUUAUCGUAGCGUGGUACGAGCCUGGCAAGCCACUUUCCACCUCCAGUUCCCGCGGUUGCUGGGGGAACCCCUGGUGCACAACCCAGCGCUGAGGCACCCCGUGCCAAGCCUGGCCUUUGCCAGUCUCACGGCUGCUCUCAUUCAGGCAUGUGUUCUCCGCCUGGGCCACCUCCUUGACCCCGCUCGGUCAGCCUGGCUCUUGCCCGAGGCCUCGAGCAGCCGGCUGGGCAUGCGCUCCGUUCGCACCGUGGGCCGUCUCCUGUGUGACAUCCGGGCUGCCCUCCCAUUGGAGGCGGCAGCCGCCCUGGAGGACCAUCUCCGGGCGGGCCAGGUCCCCUGCACUGAGGAUGCCCCGAGCAAGACUUUCCCUGCGUUACCAGUCACCCCAGCCGUGGCCGACGAUCUGGCCGGCGGCCCUGGCACCCUGCUGACGCUCCCUGUGCCUCCUGACAGUGACACGGGUUGUCCUUUUGCUUCUCUGUCGCGUAGAGGUUUAUACGCCUGGGUCAUCCACAUCUGCCACGCCCAAGUGCUGGCGGGCUGCCCCGACACACCGUGGCGACGGCACCUGGGGCCGCCAGGUUCCCCACCGGCCCACCCGGCGUGGCACACGUUGUAUAAGCCGCCAAUUGCCAAGAAGACUGGUGACCUGCAGUGGCGGUUGCUGCAUGGCAUCCUAGCCACCGGCACAUUUGCAUCCCACUUGGACCCAGCCGCCUCGACGGCCUGCCCCUUCUGCCUGGGGGAUGUCGAGGAGACCCUUUUUAACGCUUUCCUUGACUGCCCCCGCCUGCAGCCGCUCUUUGUCAACCUCAGCCUGCUGCUGCGGGCUCUGGGCAGGAGCUUUUCGGAGACCACCUACGUGUGCUCCUGCCCGUACCGGGNNNNN